UACGAAGGGGGCUAGCGUUGUUCGGAAUUACUGGGCGUAAAGCGCGCGCAGGCGGUCUUCCAAGUCAGUGGUGAAAGCCCGGAGCUCAACUCCGGAAAUGCCAUUGAAACUGUGAGACUUGAGGAUGAGAGAGGUGAGUGGAAUUCCCAGUGUAGAGGUGAAAUUCGUAGAUAUUGGGAAGAACACCGGUGGCGAAGGCGGCUCACUGGCUCAUUUCUGACGCUCAGGCGCGACAGCGUGGGGAUCAAACAGG
rnacentral:rRNA from 1 species